GGCUAACAGUGCCUUUUCUUAAUCUAUGAAUCUCAGAUCUCAAUGUAUUGGGUUACACUUCCUCAGUCCUCACUCAUCUUCCCAACACUGCUGUAUCUUUCUUCUCCUGCCCCUCUGAUCCCCUCCUCCACUCUGGGGACCCCACUUAGCCUCUCUCUGCUGGGAUGCUCACCCCUGGGAUCCUGCUUUAUUACAGGGCGCAAGUGAGACUGAUCGAAUCCAAAGUCGGCAUGUUCAAUGUGAACCUGUUCCAGGCAUUCCUCAACUACUACCUUCUCAACAGCCUCUACCCUGAUGUCAACGAUGAGCUGGCCAAGGGCUUCCCCCUCCCUCUACCAAGGCGUAUUAAGCUCCACGACCUCGACUUCCAGAUCCACAAGAACUUCCUAUACUUGGGUGCCAAUGUCCAGUACAUGAGAGUCUGAGGACAAGAAGAAAGAUGGGCCUCAGAGGCCACAGCGGGACCUGCCAUUUGUAAUUCCAGAUGCGUAGCACAUCUCCAGAGAGUCUCAAAAUACAAAGAAGUUUCUGUUCCUGGCUCUGGUGGAUCCUGUCCCCACAGUCCUCUUCACCAGGUGCACCCUCAGCCUGGACUUGACUCUGACCUCUCCAGGGAGAAGCCCUCCCCUCACCAACCUCUCCAGGGAGAGCCCCUCCCCCCACCAACCUCUCCAGGGAGACCCCUCUCCCACCACUGACCUGGAAUCACUUAAAGAGCAGGCACUGUGGUUUUGAGUGCACCUUCUCACCUUCAUGUCUGACGGAGUGCUGGCACUUAGUAGGUCCUCAAUAAAUAUUUAUAGAAUG
rnacentral:lncRNA from 1 species